CUCGUGUUGUGAAAUGUUGGGUUAAGUCCCGCAACGAGCGCAACCCUUAUCCUUUGUUGCCAGCGGUUCGGCCGGGAACUCAAAGGAGACUGCCAGUGAUAAACUGGAGGAAGGUGGGGAUGACGUCAAGUCAUCAUGGCCCUUACGAGUAGGGCUACACACGUGCUACAAUGGCAUAUACAAAGAGAAGCGACCUCGCGAGAGCAAGCGGACCUCAUAAAGUAUGUCGUAGUCCGGAUUGGAGUCUGCAACUCGACUCCAUGAAGUCGGAAUCGCUAGUAAUCGUAGAUCAGAAUGCUACGGUGAAUACGUUCCCGGGCCUUGUACACACCGCCCGU
rnacentral:rRNA from 1 species